rnacentral:rRNA from 1 species
GACGAACGCUGGCGGCGUGCCUAAUACAUGCAAGUUGAGCGCUGAAGGUUGGUACUUGUACCUACUGGAUGAGCAGCGAACGGGUGAGUAACGCGUGGGGAAUCUGCCUUUGAGCGGGGGACAACAUUUGGAAACGAAUGCUAAUACCGCAUAAAAACUUUAAACACAAGUUUUAAGUUUGAAAGAUGCAAUUGCAUCACUCAAAGAUGAUCCCGCGUUGUAUUAGCUAGUUGGUGAGGUAAAGGCUCACCAAGGCGAUGAUACAUAGCCGACCUGAGAGGGUGAUCGGCCAAAAUGGGACUGAGACACGGCCCAAACGCCUACGGGAGGCAGCAGGAGGGAAUCUUUGGCAAUGGACGAAAGGCUGACCGAGCAACGCCGCGGGAGUGAAGAAGGGUUUCGGAUCGGAAAACUCUGUUGGUAGAGAAGAACGUUGGUGAGAGUGGAAAGCUCAUCAAGUGACGGUAACUAACCAGAAAGGGACGGCUAACUACGUG